UACGGAAGGCAGCAGUGGGGAAUAUUGCACAAUGGGCGAAAGCCUGAUGCAGCUAUGCCGCGUGUAUGAAGAAGGCCUUAGGGUUGUAAAGUACUUUCAGUCGUGAGGAAGGUGUUAAGGUUAAUAACCUUAGCAAUUGACGUUAGCGACAGAAGAAGCACCGGCUAACUCCGUGCCAGCAGCCGCGGUAAUACGGAGGGUGCGAGCGUUAAUCGGAAUUACUGGGCGUAAAGGGCACGCAGGCGGUUAAUUAAGUUGGAUGUGAAAUCCCCGGGCUUAACCUGGGAAUGGCAUUCAAGACUGGUUAGCUAGAGUCUUGUAGAGGGGGUAGAAUUCCAUGUGUAGCGGUGAAAUGCGUAGAGAUGUGGAGGAAUACCGGUGGCGAAGGCGGCCCCUGGACAAAGACUGACGCUCAUGUGCGAAAGCGUGGGGAGCAAACAGGGAUUAGAUACC
rnacentral:rRNA from 1 species